ACGGAGGAUGCAAGCGUUAUCCGGAAUCAUUGGGUUUAAAGGGUCCGUAGGCGGCCAAAUAAGUCAGUGGUGAAAGCCCAUCGCUCAACGAUGGAACGGCCAUUGAUACUGUUUGGCUUGAAUUAUUAGGAAGUAACUAGAAUAUGUAGUGUAGCGGUGAAAUGCUUAGAGAUUACAUGGAAUACCAAUUGCGAAGGCAGGUUACUACUAAUAUAUUGACGCUGAUGGACGAAAGCGUGGGGAGCGAACAGGAUUAGAUACCCUGGUAGUCCACGCCGUAAACGAUGGAUACUAGCUGUUCGGAGCAAUCUGAGUGGCUAAGCGAAAGUGAUAAGUAUCCCACCUGGGGAGUACGUUCGCAAGAAUG
rnacentral:rRNA from 1 species